GCCUGGGUGGCUCAGUCGGUUGAGCGUCUGACUUUGGCUCGGGUCAUGAUCUUGCGGUUUGUGGGUUCAAGCCCCGCGUCGGGCU
rnacentral:tRNA from 1 species